rnacentral:lncRNA from 1 species
ACGGAUUAAUAGGGUUGUGUUUCCUGACAGAUUAUGUCCACUGAUAUAUAGGGUGUGGUUUCCUGACAGAUGUACCACUGAUUAAGAGGGUUGUGUUUCCUGACACGAUUUAGUCAAUGAUGAUAUAGGGGUUGUUUCCUGACAGAUUUAGACACUGAUAAUAUAGGGUUGUGGUUCCUGCAGAUUUAGUCACUGAUUAUAUAGGGUUGUGUUUCCUGACAGAUUUAGUCACUGAUUAUAUAGGGUUGUGUUUCCUGACAGAUUUAGACACUGAUUAUAUAGGGUUGUGUUUCCUGACAGAUUUAGUCACUGAUAUAUAGGUGUUGUGUUCCUGACAGAUUUGACACUGAGUAUAUAGGUUGUGUUUCCUGACAGAUUAGACAAA